UGGGGAAUCUUCCGCAAUGGACGAAAGUCUGACGGAGCAACGCCGCGUGAGUGAAGAAGGUUUUCGGAUCGUAAAACUCUGUCUUUUGGGGCGAACGUGAGUAUGGUGAACAAUCAUAGUCAGUGACGGUACCAAAGGAGGAAGCCACGGCUAACUACGUGCCAGCAGCCGCGGUAAUACGUAGGUGGCAAGCGUUGUCCGGAAUUAUUGGGCGUAAAGAGCGCGUAGGCGGGAUAGUCAGUCUGUUGUAAAGUGCGGGGCUCAACCCCGUGAUGGCAAUGGAAACAGCUAUUCUUGAGUGCAGGAGAGGAAAGUGGAAUUCCCAGUGUAGCGGUGAAAUGCGUAGAUAUUGGGAGGAACACCAGUGGCGAAGGCGACUUUCUGGACUGUGUCUGACGCUGAGGCGCGAAAGCCAGGGGAGCGAACGGGAUUAGAUACCCCCGGUAGUCCUGGCCGUAAACGAUGGGUACUAGGUGUGGGAGGUAUCGACCCCCUUCCGUGCCGGAGUUAACGCAAUAAGUACCCCGCUGGGGAGUACGGUCGCAAGACUGAAACUCAAAUGAAUUGACGGGGGUCAUAGCUGUUUCCUG
rnacentral:rRNA from 1 species